rnacentral:rRNA from 1 species
UACGUAGGGGGCGAGCGUUGUCCGGAUUCAUUGGGCGUAAAGAGCUCGUAGGCGGCCUCGCAAGUCAGGUGUGAAACCUCCAGGCUCAACCUGGAGCCGCCACCUGAUACUGCGAUGGCUAGAGUCCGGUAGGGGAUCACGGAAUUCCUGGUGUAGCGGUGAAAUGCGUAGAUAUCUGGAGGAACACCGGUGGCGAAGGCGGCGUCCUGGACCAAUACUGACACUGAGGAGCGAAAGCCAGGGGAGCAAACGGG